rnacentral:rRNA from 1 species
UACGGAGGGUGCAAGCGUUAAUCGGAAUUACUGGGCGUAAAGCGCGCGUAGGCGGUUUUGUAAGUCGGAUGUGACAGCCCUGGGCUCAACCUGGGAAUUGCAUUCGAAACUGCAUGACUAGAGUAUAGUAGAGGGAAGUGGAAUUCCAGGUGUAGCGGUGAAAUGCGUAGAUAUAUGGAGGAACACCGAUGGCGAAGGCAGCCCCCUGGGUUAACACUGACGCUCAGGCACGAAAGCGUGGGGAGCAAACAGG